CACGUAGGAGGCAAACGUUAUCCGGAUUUACUGGGGCGUAAAGCGCGUGUAGGUGGUUCUGUAAGUAGGGCGUGAAAGCUCCCGGCUCAACUGGGAGAGGCCGUUCUAAACUGCAGAGCUAGAGGAUGGUAGAGGGAGGUGGAAUUCCGGGUGUAGCGGUGGAAUGCGCAGAUAUCCGGAGGAACACCAGUGGCGAAAGCGGCCUCCUGGUCCAUUCCUGACACUCAGAUGCGAAAGCUAGGGUAGCAAACGGGAUUAGAUACCCCCGUAGUCCCUGAG
rnacentral:rRNA from 1 species